rnacentral:rRNA from 1 species
UCUCCUGGAAACGGGUGGUAAUGCCGGAUGCUCCGACUCCUCGCAUGGGGUGUCGGGAAAGAUUUCAUCGGUAUGGGAUGGGGUCGCGUCCUAUCAGGUAGUCGGCGGGGUAACGGCCCACCGAGCCUACGACGGGUAGCCGGCCUGAGAGGGCGACCGGCCACAUUGGGACUGAGAUACGGCCCAGACUCCUACGGGAGGCAGCAGUGGGGAAUAUUGCACAAUGGGCGCAAGCCUGAUGCAGCGACGCCGCGUGCGGGAUGACGGCCUUCGGGUUGUAAACCGCUUUUGAUCGGGAGCAAGCCUUCGGGUGAGUGUACCUUUCGAAUAAGCACCGGCUAACUACGUGCCAGCAGCCGCGGUAAUACGUAGGGUGCAAGCGUUAUCCGGAAUUAUUGGGCGUAAAGGGCUCGUAGGCGGUUCGUCGCGUCCGGUGUGAAAGUCCAUCGCUUAACGGUGGAUCUGCGCCGGGUACGGGCGGGCUGGAGUGCGGUAGGGGAGACUGGAAUUCCCGGUGUAACGGUGGAAUGUGUAGAUAUCGGAAAGAACACC